rnacentral:tRNA from 1 species
GGGGCUAUAGCUCAGAGGUAGAGCCGGAGCUUGGUGUUCACGAGGACCUGGGUUCAAUCCCCAGUGCCUCUG